UGGAGACAAGUCCGUGUAAACCAGAUCGGCAGAUGAGAUAGUGGGGUACCGCCACACUGUUGGAUAUAUCGGGACGCAGGACAUUACUUGGGAAGUGCCAUUGUCUAAUUUAUUACAAAAUACAUUCUUUAUGGAAUCAGCAUUGUAAAGACACGAUUGACAGGGAAUAUGAAUUGAGAAGACAUUAUUCCGGGAAUCCAUACAGUUACUGUACGAUAUCUUCACUGCACAAAAGAAGUACUCUCUCUCAUCAUGGUGUUUUUGUGAUGUCUGCACAAAUUACUUUUUGAAAAAAAUAUUUUGUGCAUCACCACUGUCAGUCACUGUCAUGUUUUGUGCAAGUUUCCCAUAUUAUGUAAUAGAGUAAGUUAUAAAUGCAUGACUUGAUUUUCACUGUAUUGAAGAAUACAUGUGUAUAACAUUUAGAUAUGGAAGAACACAGUUAUACUGCGAAACUCACUAAUAUGAUUAGUAAUUCCGACAUGAUGAAUAUUUUCAAAAAGGUGCAAGGUAAUUCUGUAGCAUUUCAUGAAGAAAUUUGUAAAAUACUUCAAAUAGAAAAGGAACUUGUAAAUCCUACUAGCUUAUACACCAAAGCAAGGCGAACUUUAAAUGAAAUUAAAAGACUUAGGAAGUUUCCAAAUAAGGACAAGUAUCUUGAAAAAUUAAAAUCGGAAUUUAUUUUGCCCGCUCAGAAACAAAAAGGAAUUGACAGAGUGCAACAAAGAAACAAAAGACAAAAGACUGAACCUCAUGGUUCUUGUGCUGGAUGUGAGAAAUUGCGAAAAGAAAACGAAAAAGUAAGGAAAAGGUUAAAAGAUAUCAAAGUACAAGUAUUGAAUCAGAAACUAAAGAGAAACCAACAAACAAUUAAAAGGUUACAGACCACAAUGAGCAGCCUUCGUGUAAAAUUAAAAGCGUCUGUGUCAUUUAGAGUUAAAAGACUUCAAAAGAAAAAUAUUGCUUCUGUUGGUACCCAAUGUAACACAAUGAAAUCAGAUAUAAAUGACCUUAAAAAAGAGAUUGAAAUUUUAAAGACAACUUUGCAAAAUAAAAUGUUUCAGGACAAUGAAAAUCGAAAAACAAUAAAUUUGAGAAACCCUGGAAGUAGAGGUAAUCCAUAUGAUUUUAAGUUAAGAAAAAUUUUAUAUGAAUUUAGAAGUAGAAAUAUUGCUGUUCAGCACAUCAAUCCCAUUAUUAAAGAAGUAUUAGGUCUAGUUGAUGUUUGUGUAGAGGAGUUGCCACAUCCAUCAACUGUUGCAAAGUUAAAGCUGAACACGACUCAAAAAUAGUCUUAUGUUAUGUAAGUUUUCCUUUCUCUGGUAUCAGCACAAAGGUUUAUUAUAUAAACCCUUGGCAUUCGUUUCACCUGAUUGCAAUGUAACUCAUACCUGACGUGUCUUAUUUCUUGCUUGUCUUAGUGAUUACAUUUUAAUUCAUUUUUUUUAUUACCUGGAUUUGCAUUUGUUUUAAUGCAUUGUCCUCUGCGAUUGAUGUAACUUUUUCUCCUGAUGUGGUAUGAAUACAUACACUAUUUUGAUAAUUUCAUUGCCUUCAAGUAUUAACAGUGAUGUAAGAUACAUUCAAACAGAUUAAACUUGUACAUCAAAAUACUUCAAACUGUGAAAAAAAUCAAUCUUUUAUAAGGGCUUGAGAAAUAAAUGGUAGCAGAGAAAAUUAUGGCAGACAAGGAUAAAUUCUUUUAUGAGUUGUCUCAAGCUUUAAAUAGUGAGCUAGGCAUUAUAAGUCGCACUCAUAUUUGUUCUGAAAUAAAAGAUUUAGAUAAUUAAAAAGUUUAAAGGGAUGCAUUUGUCAAUAAAGGAAAGCAUUAUAAUGAAGCGUUGGUUUCCACAAACUAAGGGAAAAAACUUUCACAAGUGGGUUAAGGGAGGUGGUAGAUGACAAAACAGAAACAUGUUAGUUAUGGAAAAGAAUUUUUUUUAUGAAACGUGAACUAAUUCAGAGAGCCAAGAUCUGAACUUAACCACAGAUUUUGGUAAUUUUAUGAUGAUAGAAAUGUUACAGAGCAGAAGUUGAACAAUAUUUUAGAGAUUGUAUAAAUGUGCAAUUCAAAUCAUUACUGUGCUAUAAUUCUUUCAAAUGUUAUAUGCAUUCCCUUUUGCAAUUUUCACAUGUUUGCCGGAAAGAAAUUUCUUCGCUAAAAAAUAAAAUUUGAUACAAAUAAUAAAGUAUGCAACCUUGUGUUUUGUUGCAUUCUGUGUCAAUUUUUUUUUACUAAGAUGGAUUUUGAGACCCUAUAUUUUCUGUAACAUAUCUGGAAGAUAAAUUUAAAAGGAACCAGUUAUGAA